CAAUUAAAACAACAUAUCCUUGGUUAAGAAUUAAAAAAAAAAAACCACCUGGUAAGGCCAAAUAGAGUAACUUUAUUCUGUUUGCUAACUUCUGUUACCGGGGUGGUUCCCCAUCAGCACAAUUGAACUCUUUGUAGUACACGAUUUCUGAGUGAUCGCCAGUGUGAUGCAGACUUAAGCUAAACAUGAGAGGUAAAUUAUGCUGUUUUACUGGAUUUGUUUUUAAUAUCACAUGAUUUGUGAGUAUGUUGAAACUUACUGUAGUGUUUGAAUGUAAUGAUCAGUUUUCAGCCUGAUCAGAUAUUAA